rnacentral:lncRNA from 7 species
AAUGCCCACUCGUGUGUUGUUGCUACCUCCUGUUGUGCUGGGGGAGCAGUGGCCUUCCUGCUUCCCACCUGCAGUGUUUGGUUAUGGGAUGUGAGAAUUGUGUCUUAGCACUGAAAUUCCUGAGCCUGUAGACCCGAAUGCUGCACGUGAAUCAUAUGCUGAGUCUCAGUGGCACUUGCAGUGGAGUGGCAUCAUUGACAUAACGUUCUGUUUUCCCCUUGAGCUGCUGCUGUGUGUUAUGUUUGGUGCUGCUGGGCAGCGGUGUGUGCUUUGGGCAGCUGCUGCUCCCAGAGCUGCUUUGCAGAUAGGAGCAACUGCAGGUUGGGGAAGAAAGAUAGUAAAAGGCCAGGCAUGGUGAUGUGUGGCACAGAAUAGCUGGUGGUGUUUGUGGGCAUCCUUUGGUAUCUAACAGCAGUGCUGCAGUUGUAUGGCUGUUCAGCAAGCAGGCAAGAUGUAAUGCGAGUGUUGCUCCAGAUAAGAGCAAUUGCCUUGUAAAGCAUAGAGCCCAAAUAUUGUCACAGAGCAGCAGCAUUCCCAGUUCCAGGCUGGGUUUUAAGCUGAAGCUCAGUAACAGCUGUCUGUUGAGCAGGGCAAGGUCAGCUGUGUAGAGGUGAAUGGAGCUAUUUCUCCUGUGCAGUGAUGCUGUGCCACCCGAGCUCCUGCGUAACGCUGAAGCGCAGUGAUGGGGACUGUCCCGUCCAGCAGACAGCAAUGGAUACAUAAAUAUGAGCACAGAGCUGCUGUGUUGGCUCCCCAGGACCACCAUACCCAUUAUGCUGCAGUUUGACCUCCGGCCAGGCACUUGUAAAUGGAGAAACUUCAGAAAUAAAUGAUGUUUUCUCCCCAGCCCCUCCUUCAGCCUCCUGCCUGCUCUCAGUGAAGGAUUGCUGCUGCAAACAGAGCAGUCUGAAUUAAGCUGUCCUGGCGGACCGCACAGAUAGCCCACAGGCCAGAGGUUAAGUGCUCCUGCAACAAAGCACGGGCUGCUCAUGGGUCACUGGUAAAUACAACAGAACUCCGGGCAUUUUUAACCUCUUCCUGCAGAACCAAACCCCACAUUAACCCCUCGCAUCAGGAAGGGACACCCAGCUCACCUGCAGCGAUGCUGUUGGCUCUUAUGGGACCACGGGGGGAGCAUGAGCAGAGGCAGCUCAGGCACUGCAUGGGUUAAGGAUGUCCUGACUUCACGCACUGCAGCACUUACAGCUCCCCUGGGCUCCAUCCCCUGCUGUGCUCAUGGCCAGCUGAUUGGCACAGGGUCCCGGGGGGGCUCGAGACCAGAGAGCACGAGCAACUUCUUACAGUGGGAAAUCACAGCAGAGCUGCAGUGUGGGCAGGGGGGUGUGGGUCUGCCUCAACAGAGCCAUCCCAGUGCGCCUUACCAGCCCACCACGGGGAUCAAUGCUCAUCUCCAGCCACAUUUCUUUCAGGCUCCACUACUUUCACACAUUCCAAAACACCUAACUUCAGCAUUAAGCAACGCUUGCCUUCCAUUUCCCUGCCUUACUCUUUAUCAUUCUGCUCACCGACAAGAAGUUAUUAUGUCCUAUAAAGGCAGGCUGUCUCCCAGCUCGUCUGCUUUCGCUGUUUGACCCUUGCUGUUCCAUCUCAAUAGAGAACAGAU